CCAGGUCGCGUGAAGAUCAACGAUGCGCCAGAAGAUCCGAUAGUUCACCUCUCUCCCCCGUACCUUGAGGUGGAAUCUCGGGGCGAGAUUCCUUGUUAGUGGUGUCGAUUGUAACGGCCCAGGAUAGCACCCCUAAUAGUUUUUUUUGCUUGUUCUUUCUUUUCUGCAUCAUCAUGUCAUCAUGCAUCAUAUCAUCCAUGAUUUUAUUAAAUAAAAUUAUUUUAUAAACCAUAAACUAUUUUUAUUUUACCGGGUUAGAUAAUAAAACCCUCAUCUCUCCUUUCAUUUAACCAAACCCUAAAAACCAACACCUUCAAACAAAUAAAAUUAUUAUUUUAAUUAUUUUGCUUUCUCCCUCUCUCUCUCAUCUUUAUUUGAAUUCAAAGUUGCUUUGAAUUUAAAUCUUGCUUCAAACCAGUUUUCAAAAAUAAAUAAAGAAAAUGGUUUUAAAAGAAAAUCCCUAACUCUCCCUGGGCUCUCUCCUCCCUCUGGCCCAUUCUCUUUCUGGCCCGGUACCUCUUCACGACGAGCCGAUGUUCCUUACGUCGCUAUCCCCUUCCUCACACGCACAUGGCGUGCUCGCUUUUCUCCACCACAACACCGUGCUCCACCUGCUCCCUCCCCUCCUUUUUAAUCCCCAUCCAAGAUCCCCACCGAACCCUAGCCUUCCUCCUCUUCCAUCCACGCCGCCGCCACCUACCUCCCUCCACACGUUCGUUUCUCUCUUCUCUGUGUCUGUGAGCAAACGAAGGAGAACAAACCCCACUGCCACCACCAUGUUCACCAUGGCCCCGACGAACCAGAGCUCCCCUUGCCACUCCGAGACCACCCACGGAACCGCCUCGGCGUCCUCUAUAUUCUCCCCAAAGGAAUCGAUCCGGGGUGCUCUUAAUCGUCUCCAAAUUCGCCGUUUCUUCUUCAACUCCGGCGACCAAAUUCUUCAAUUCCGGCCGCUCUCGUCCUCCUCCGACCAAACCGAGCCCGCCUUCAUCUUCCUGGUGCAUGUCGCCGGCGAUGUCUCAGCGAAUCUCCGGCCAUCCUUCUACCUCUCGCUGGUCCGUCACGCUAAGGCGCAGCUCCGACACCAGCCGCCUCGUCUCGGUUCGACCUUCCCCAUCGUCCCCGUGCAUGAUCUGCAAGUCAUGGCUGUUCUGGCCCGUGAGCUUCGCUUGGACUUGAUCCGUUGAUGGACUUUGAGCCAAUUUGAUCCGGUGCAACUUGCAGCCCAGCACGCCAGGCCGCAUCUCUUCGGACUAGAUCCGGCCCACCUCGCCAGGCGCGGCAGCAUUUGCUUCUUCACGGAUAGGAUCACGAAGUGGUGUUGUGAGAUACGAC